AUACGGAGGGUCCAAGCGUUAUCCGAAAUCAUUGGGUUUAAAGGGUCCGCAGGCGGUCAAUUAAGUCAGAGGUGAAAGCCCAUCGCUCAACGAUGGAACUGCCUUUGAUACUGGUUGACUUGAGUUAUACGGAAGUAGAUAGAAUAAGUAGUGUAGCGGUGAAAUGCAUAGAUAUUACUUAGAAUACCGAUUGCGAAGGCAGUCUACUACGUAUAUUCUGACGCUGAGGGACGAAAGCGUGGGGAGCGAACAGGAUUAGAUACCCGAGUAGUCC
rnacentral:rRNA from 1 species